rnacentral:rRNA from 1 species
GCAGACGGCUCAGUAACGCGUAGUUGACCUAACCUAUGGACGGGAAUAACCUCGGGAAACUGAGUAUAAUGCCCGAUAGAACACUAUACCUGGAAUGGUUUGUGUUCCAAAUGAUUUAUCGCCGUAGGAUGGGACUGCGGCCUAUCAGUUUGUUGGUGAGGUAAUGGCCCACCAAGACUAUUACAGGUACGGGCUCUGAGAGGAGUAGCCCGGAGAUGGGUACUGAGACACGGACCCAGGCCCUAUGGGGCGCAGCAGGCGAGAAAACUUUGCAAUGUGCGAAAGCACGACAAGGUUAAUCCGAGUGGUUUCUGCUAAAGAAACCUUUUGUUAGUCAUAAAACCACUAAUGAAUAAGGGGUGGGCAAGUUCUGGUGUCAGCCGCCGCGGUAAAACCAGCACCUCAAGUGGUCAGGAUGAUUAUUGGGCCUAAAGCAUCCGUAGCCGGCUCUGUAAGUUUUCGGUUAAAUCUGUACGCUCAACGUACAGGCUGCCGGGAAUACUGCAGAGCUAGGGAGUGGGAGAGGUAGACGGUACUCGGUAGGAAGGGGUAAAAUCCUUUGAUCUAUUGAUGACCACCUGUGGCGAAGGCGGUCUACCAGAACACGUCCGACGGUGAGGGAUGAAAGCUGGGGGAGCAAACCGGAUUAGAUACCCGGGUAGUCCCAGCUGUAAACUAUGCAAACUCAGUGAUGCAUUGGCUUGUGGCCAAUGCAGUGCUGCAGGGAAGCCGUUAAGUUUGCCGCCUGGGAAGUACGUACGCAAGUAUGAAACUUAAAGGAAUUGGCGGGGGAGCACCACAAGGGGUGAAGCCUGCGGUUCAAUUGGAGUCAACGCCGGG